GACGAACGCUGGCGGCGUGCUUAACACAUGCAAGUCGAACGGAAAGGCUCCAGCUUGCUGGAGUACUCGAGUGGCGAACGGGUGAGUAACACGUGGGUAAUCUGCCCUGCACUCUGGGAUAAGCCUGGGAAACUGGGUCUAAUACUGGAUAUGACCUUUCUCCUUAUGGGGUUUGGUGGAAAGUUUUUCGGUGUAGGAUGAGCCCGCGGCCUAUCAGCUUGCUGGUGGGGUGAUGGCCUACCAAGGCGACGACGGGUAGCCGGCCUGAGAGGGUGAUCGGCCACAUUGGGACUGAGAUACGGCCCAGACUCCUACGGGAGGCAGCAGUGGGGAAUAUUGCACAAUGGGCGGAAGCCUGAUGCAGCGACGCCGCGUGAGGGAUGACGGCCUUCGGGUUGUAAACCUCUUUCAGCAGGGACGAAGCGUAAGUGACGGUACCUGCAGAAGAAGCACCGGCUAACUAUGUG
rnacentral:rRNA from 1 species